UCCAGUGGGUAACGUGUUUAGUUCAUUAACAAAAUCGGUGCUGCCUGUUCACAAACUUGUCCUUUUUCAUGAAUAUUUACCACCACCAUCAAUUUCAACUACUCCCAUCAACUUGGAAUUUUACAUUUCCAUUUUUUUAUGAACUGGGGUAGACGCUCCAUAGUAAUGCGCCAUUUUGAAAUACGUUAGCCAGUAUGGGACAUACAGGAUAUACUGCUCCGCCUUUCGCGUUUUCACUGUCAAAUGAUAAACUCACAGGCGCUGCUAAUGUGCUAAUGGGUAUCGUCGCUUCCCGGCCCCGGCAAGUUUGAAGAAGGAAACAUAGAGCACCACAUGUAUUCAUAAUCCAAAC